rnacentral:rRNA from 1 species
CCUACGGGAGGCAGCAGUGAGGAAUAUUGGUCAAUGGACGCAAGUCUGAACCAGCCAAGUAGCGUGCAGGAUGACGGCCCUCCGGGUUGUAAACUGCUUUUAGUUGGGAAUAAAAGGGGGCUCGUGAGCCCCGUCUUGUAUGUACCAUCAGCAAAAGGACCGGCUAAUUCCGUGCCAGCAGCCGCGGUAAUACGGAGGGUCCGGGCGUUAUCCGGAUGUAUUGGGUUUAAAGGGAGCGUAGGCCGGCUUUUAAGUCAGCGGUGAAAGUCCGCGGCUCAACCGUGGAAUUGCAGUUGAAACUGGAGGCCUUGAGUGCACACAGGGAUGCCGGAAUUCAUGGUGUAGCGGUGAAAUGCUUAGAUAUCAUGAAGAACUCCGAUCGCGAAGGCAAGUGUCCGGGGUGCAACUGACGCUGAGGCUCGAAAGUGCGGGUAUCAAACAGGAUUAGAUACCCUUGUAGUC